CACGGGGGGAGCAAGGCGUUGUUCGGAAUCAUUGGGCGUAAAGAGCGUGUAGGCGGCUCGGUAAGUCCGCUGUGAAAGUCCAGGGCUCAACCCUGGAAUGCCGGUGGAAACUGUCGAGCUAGAGUCCGGAAGAGGCGAGUGGAAUUCCUGGUGUAGCGGUGAAAUGCGCAGAUAUCAGGAGGAACACCAAUGGCGAAGGCAGCUCGCUGGGACGGUACUGACGCUGAGACGCGAAAGCGUGGGGAGCAAACAGG
rnacentral:rRNA from 1 species